rnacentral:rRNA from 1 species
UACGUAGGGGGCAAGCGUUGUCCGGAUUUAUUGGGCGUAAAGAGCGUGUAGGCGGCUUUACAGGUCCGUUGUGAAAUCUCCCGGCUCAACUGGGAGGGUGCGCCGGAAACUGCAGUGCUUGAGGGUGGGAGAGGUAAGCGGAAUUCCUGGUGUAGCGGUGAAAUGCGUAGAUAUCAGGAGGAACACCUGUGGUGUAGACAGCUUACUGGACCACUUCUGACGCUGAGACACGAAAGCGUGGGUAGCAAACAGG